rnacentral:lncRNA from 1 species
GUGAGAUUUAGGAAAUCCUUCCUUAAAAUCCUCCAGCAGCCCCCUAUUGUGUACUUCACAGUUGCAUCAACCUUUCUCCACCUCAUUCUAAAGAUCAGGCAGAGGGAAGGGAAGCCCAACUUUCAUACUGCCUGGAAUAACACAUUUCCUGGGGACAGGUUUACACUGAUUUCUGGGUGGUGUCUGGUGAUUUUGUCAGAGUGGGAAGAGCUAAUGCAAGGCAUAUAUUGGAGUUAAUCACUUCUGUGAGCAACUGAGCUCUAUCU